UGAGCCACGUAUAUGCCACGUAGGCCUUAAGGUUGACAAAAAUACGGUUUUAAUUAGUCCAGGGAUAAUAGGACCCCCUUUAAGUUGGAGUGUGUCUGAGCAAUCUCGUUUAUAAUUCAAGACGGAAAUAGUGCAUUUUCUCUAAAAUUUAUUGUGAACGCGUAGAAGUUAAUAGCAGAUAGAUUAAGGUGUAAUCACUGUGGUUAAAUAAAAGGUAUAAAUGCUAAGUAAAAACAUGGACACCAAAGUCAAAAUUUGCCUAUUCACCUUUCAUAUAUACUCCCAUGUUGAGUGGCUUCUUUCAUUCUUCAAUUGUUUAAGCAAUUUAUAUGUGUAUCCAUAUUUCAAAAUUCUCUUCUUUUUCCAACUUUCAUCUACUUUAAUUACUAUAUUUCUCCAAGAUAACUUCCCUUCUCAAUUCUUUCACUCUUCUUUGCCUUGUCUUUCUUUCUCUCAGCCAUAUUAUUGGGGGUGGAUUUUUUUUUAAUUGAAUUAGUAUUGCAUGGCAACAUUGAGAAAAUCUAAACACUUCACUUUUAAUUACUCAAAGUCUUUCAUUUUCUUCUUGACCUUAUUCUUCCUCUUCCUUGUUGUUCUAUCUGAUGAUAAGUCAGACCAUUCCUCUUCAUCUACUACUGCUACCAUCAACUUGAUGAACUCAAAAAAGAUCCAUAGAAAUUCUCGUACGUCGCCUUCUUCUUCUCGUGAUACUCGUAGACAGUUUGAAGCUAGUGAGCAUGCAGUUCCUAGCGGGCCAAAUCCAUCAUCAAAUUAAAUCUGUAAGUUGGUUUGUUCGCGGUGUUUUCAGGAUCUAGAGUCACCAGCUUCAGAAUGAAUGUAAUAUUAUUGUAAUAUGUAUAUGUAACUACAUUUUUGCAUACAUAGUUAAAAGUCGAAAACAAUAAGUUCAGUUGAACGCGCACAUAUCGUAGAUCUGUCUUAGCUAAACGAAGCCAUUAUUUAUUGUUGUUUGAUCACCAAUUCUGGAAGCCAUUAGUGCUACUUUGUGUCUACGAUCUUCACUGAUGAGAAGUUUUUCACUAUAUUUGCUUUGUUAAUUGUUAUUGUCACUAUUGUUAGCUAAGCCUUUUCAACUUAUAACUCUCUUUUGGGACUUGAAUAUCAAGAUAAAUUUUUAUUAUUCAUGUAAAUAUGGAUGUAUCUACUUUGAGCUGGGAGUUUAUCAGAAACAAAGUACUGAUAACUGAUAAAGCUGUUGUUCCCGGAUCCCACUUACUCCCACCGUAUAAAAAAAAAAUGAUCUAGUUUGACUUGAUACGGAGUUUAAGAAAAUAAAGAAGACUUUUGAAUCUUGUGGUGUUAAAUUAAAGAUAUGUCAAAUAUACCAAAAUGCCCUUCAAUUUUGUGGUCUUAAACAUGCCACAUGGAAAGUUAAAAUUUAAAAGUUGCUGAAAAGGAAAAGGAGUCAUUCUUUUUUAAACGGACUAAAAAGAAAAAUAGUGAUUUCUUUUGAAACGGUGGGAGUAUAAGAUUAGGUUGGUAUGUUGUUGUCUUUGUAAAUAUGCAUGUAUCAAUCUUUAUUGAAGUUGUGGUUCCUUUUAAUUAAUAUUUCUCCAUCAAUUUAUCAUUUUGUUAUAAUUAAUGAAUACAUUUGUUGUAAAUAUUGUGGGGAAAGUACUUGUUAGAGGUGAUUAGUGCAUAGCUUGAAUCGUGGGUGAAUAUAGGAGAAGAAGAGGAUUGUACACUUUUGUUUUUGAGUGAAAUAUGAUUUGAGUUGCUUUGGACUUUUCUUUUUUGUCUUCUUUAAUGCACAAAUCCCAAGAAAGUUGAUCCACCAAAAAGCUAUCAUGAGCCUAUAAUUUGAUAAUCAUCUAACUUUAUUGGUUUUCCUAUUCUAAAUUCCAAUCAUAUUGUACAGCAUUCCAAUAAUUUUGCAUUUUAAGCAUAGUUCGGAUUGCGGUGAGAUGAAAAAGAUUUCGAGUUUGGGUUUGAGUUUGAAUUGAAAAGAGAGAAGAUCUGAUAUGAAAUGUUUUAAUGGAUUAUUAUGCAAUUAUAUAUAAUAUCAGCAACAUUAUAUU
rnacentral:lncRNA from 1 species